rnacentral:rRNA from 1 species
UACGUAGGGUGCAAGCGUUAUCCGGUAUCAUUGGGCGUAAAGGGUUGUAAAGGCGGUUUAUUAAGUUUUUAGUGAAAGUCUUCGGCUCAACCGGAGGAGUGCUAAGAAUACUGAUAAACUAGAGACAGGUAGAGGAAAGUGGAACUUGCAGUGUAGCGGUAAAAUGCGUUGAUAUUGCAAGGAACACCAAAGGCGUAGGCAGCUUUCUGGGCCUGUUCUGACGCUCAAGCACGAAAGCAUGGGGAGCGAACCGGAUUAGAUACCCGCGUA